AUCGAUAAUNCACGUUAANUUUCACUUUGAUUUACAAUUUAUAUACCAUCAUCUUAAGAAUUAAUUCAAAAAUAUUUCUCCUAAUAAAUUAUAAAAAGUUAGAUCAAGGUAUAAUCUACAUUGAAGAAUAAGAUGAAUUACAUUAAAUAAUAUUCAAAGAUUAUUAAUAAAUAUAUAAAUACAAAUAAGAAUUUAAAAGUAAUAUACAAACAAUAAUAUUAUAUGAUAAAGAUAAUAAAUGUGCACACAUCGCCC
rnacentral:rRNA from 1 species